AGUGAACGCUGGCGGUAGGCCUAACACAUGCCAGUCGAACGGCAGCACAGUAAGAGCUUGCUCUUACGGGUGGCGAGUGGCGGACGGGUGAGGAAUACAUCGGAAUCUACUUUUUCGUGGGGGAUAACGUAGGGAAACUUACGCUAAUACCGCAUACGACCUACGGGUGAAAGCAGGGGAUCUUCGGACCUUGCGCGAUUGAAUGAGCCGAUGUCGGAUUAGCUAGUUGGCGGGGUAAAGGCCCACCAAGGCGACGAUCCGUAGCUGGUCUGAGAGGAUGAUCAGACAGAUGGGAAGUGAGACAGGUCCCAGACUCUGACGGGAGGAAGCAGUGGGGAAUAUUGGACGAUGGGGGCGAGCCUGAUCCAGGCAUACCGCGUGGGUGAAGAAGGCGUUCGGGUUGGAAAGCCAUUUUGUUGUGAAAGAAAAGCAGCAGGUUAAUACCCCGCUGUUCUGACGGUACCCAAAGAAUAAGCACCGGCUAACUUCGUG
rnacentral:rRNA from 1 species